rnacentral:lncRNA from 1 species
UAUCAUUCUCACAAAACACUCUUGUGUAGAGUUGGCUCAGUUACCCUUGUUUUGUGAAUGAAAUAAAGUCCUCAUGGUGUUGAAUUCAGUUCUAAAUUUACAUUUCAGGGAAGGACAAAUAUAGGCUCAGAACUUUGCACUCUGCCUUCUCCACAAAAUCAGAGAAACAUGGUAUCUGGGACUGGAUCCUGCAGCAGAACAACAAGGAUGACAUUAGUAAAAAAUGCGCAAGCUCCUCACCCAGCCUGAGCUCCACUCCUGUUGCACUGAAGGCCUCCCCGCCGUGCCUUUCUCUCUCAUGCUCCGCCUCUAGAGCCUGUGUGCUCCACUGGCUCUGAACUUCAUCCCAGCUCCCCCGUUAGACUCUCAGCUCUGUGAGUGCAAGCUCAGAACAGUCUCCAAUUGGGUCUAAGCAUUGGAUUGGCGUUUCCAGGAUCACUGUGCCGUCAUGAGGAUCCACUGGCAAGUUCUCAGCCAUUUUCCUACCUGGAGUCAAUAGGAAGUUUUGAAAAAAAAAAUGCUUAAGAUGCAAUGAUAUAAUACUGACAGUUAAUGAAGAUUUAGAACUCAGUGACAUGGGCUUUCGGGUGUGAGAAAAUGGAAAUGUGUUUGGAAACUUUUAGGUGUAAGUUGACAGUCAAUAAGCCUGGAGAACCUGAAGAGAUCACGUACUAUACUUAUGGAGGGUGGGUAUGAGUAAGAUUGACCUGAAAACAGGAAAAGUAAGCAUAUAUGGAUGUAUGUACAUAUUUAUCUGUGUUGGGGAUUGAACCAAGGGCCUUCGCACUGAGUUACAUCCA